rnacentral:rRNA from 1 species
UACGUAGGGUGCAAGCGUUAAUCGGAAUUACUGGGCGUAAAGCGUGCGCAGGCGGUUGUGCAAGACAGAUGUGAAAUCCCCGGGCUCAACCUGGGAACUGCAUUUGUGACUGCACAGCUUGAGUGCGGCAGAGGGGGAUGGAAUUCCUGGUGUAGCAGUGAAAUGCGUAGAGAUCAGGAGGAAUACCGAUGGCGAAGGCAGGUCCCUGGGCUGACACUGACGCUCAUGCACGAAAGCGUGGGGAGCAAACAGG